CACCCUCCACAGGCUGGCUGGCCAGAGGCUGGACUGGGUGAGUAUCUCUUUGAAAAGCUCACUUCAAGCAUGACUAGGGGC
rnacentral:pre_miRNA from 1 species